ACUCAAAUGAAUUGACGGGGGCCCGCACAAGCAGCGGAGCGUGUGGUUUAAUUCGAGGCUACACGAAGAACCUUACCUGGACUGGACAUGGUGGUAGUAGAAGGUGGAAACACCGACGACCUUCGGGAGCCACCACUGGUGCUGCAUGGCUGUCGUCAGCUCGUGCCGUGAGGUGUUAGGUUAAGUCCUGUAACGAGCGCAACCCCCGGUGCCAGUUAGAACGUCUGGCGCGACUGCCCGUGACAAACGGGAGGAAGGCGGGGAUGACGUCAAGUCAGCAUGGCCUGUAUGUCCAGGGCUACACACACGCUACAAUGGUCGGUACAAUGGGUCGCCAAGCCGCAAGGCGGAGCUAAUCCAGUCAAAGCCGGCCUCAGUUCAGAUUGUGGGCUGCAACCCGCCCACAUGAAGUCGGAGUUGCUAGUAACCGCGCGUCAGCCAUAGUGCGGUGAAUACGUUCCCGGGCCUUGUACACACCGCCCGU
rnacentral:rRNA from 1 species